rnacentral:rRNA from 1 species
GAUGAACGCUGGCGGCGUGCCUAACACAUGCAAGUCGUACGAGCUCGAUCUUCGGAACGGGUUAGUGGCGCACGGGUGAGUAACACGUAGGUGACCUACCCCAGAGUGGGGGAUAACUUCUCGAAAGAGAGGCUAAUACCGCAUACACUCGGUCAUUCAUUUGGCCGAGCAAAGCUCCGGCGCUUUGGGACGGGCCUGCGUCCGAUUAGCUAGUUGGUAGGGUAAUGGCUUACCAAGGCUUUGAUCGGUAGCUGGUCUGAGAGGACGAUCAGCCACACUGGCACUGACACACGGGCCAGACUCCUACGGGAGGCAGCAGUGAGGAAUAUUGGGCAAUGGGCGAAAGCCUGACCCAGCAACGCCGCGUGAGGGAUGAAGGCCUUCGGGUUGUAAACCUCUUUCUGGGAGAAGAGACAAGGACGGUAUCCCAGGAAUAAGUCUCGGCUAACUACGUGCCAGCAGCCGCGGUAA